AUUGCAUCCUGUACUUUUGGUAAUGGUUAAACUUAAUGUGGUCUUCUGAUUUAUGGCUCUCCAGAGAUUUGUGAAGUUCCCAAAGAUCUUACACAUGCACUCAUGGGCAUAGAUGAUGGGUGACUUCGGAGAUGAAACUCUGUCAGGAGUGACARUGUCAACGUACUGCUCUUGAUUGUCUGAUGUUAAAAUGCAAGAGAUUAACAGCCUGGCUCCAGAGAGGCAGUUGUUCCACACCGCACGCCCACGUGGGCCUUGGGCAUUGAUCUCCUGCUGGCCUGCUUGUGUGCCCUGGCCUGGGUGUUACCUGCUAUUUUAUGGCCUUUUCGAUUUCAGCCAACCAUGAUGUCCUUCUCCUUUCCUUCUUGGGUGAGCAGUUUCCAUUUUAUGACCGGUCUAUGUCCUGAUGAUCYAUGAGUCAGCAUCGCAAACACAUGCUGUUGGGAAUGCAACAUAAUUUUGUCAUUGUGCACUUAUCAGCUUAGAAAUCAGGGCUCUGCUACUGCAGGCAAUGAUCAAAGAUUUCUUGAACCUUCUCUCAGCCUGACAGGAUCUAGCAUAUUAUGUCCUAGUGCCCAUUUUUCCACAGAGCUCCCAACUUCUCUUGCCGUGCAUCUCUCAUCCCUUGCUCUCUGUAAGGGGAAUCUCUGAGCUUUUCCAGGAAAAAGCAGUAGCCUGUGUUACGGUAUACCUAUGCCUUAAAGAACAUGCUGCCACGAAAGGCUAGACAAAAAAAGACAUCAAAGCUUCCUCAAGCAGAGAUUCACUGCAAAUGAGGCAAUGUUUCUUUGCAGACGUCAGUGUGUGAGAGCUCAGAGAAAGAGUUUAAAGACAUUUGGUAUGAUUGUUUGUUAAAGCUAAUACCAUGGACCACUUCACUUUCUGAAUUCCAAGAACACUGACUACAUUAUUGCCCCAAGGAAAGCCAGCAGAUAAAUUACCUUAAUGAAUUUAUUUUAGGAACAUUCUUUUUGAAAGCUGUCUUAUAACCACCAUUUAUUAAUAUCAAUAUUGGUGCUUUGGCUUGUGGCUCUUCUCUUACAGUAACUGUCAUGCUAGUACACUUCUGCCACGCAGGGACAGGUAACAAGAAAGAAUAAGAGAAAGCCAAAAUGACUGAUUGUGGGCAUUUGCUUAACUUUUUUAUUAUUAUUAUUUCCACAGAACGUGCAAGUCUCACAAUCAAACAAGCAUAACUGCAAGAUCUUAAAAAUUGAAAUUUAAACCUUGUAAUACUGUUUUUGCAAAUAUCAUUUCCCAAAUGCUGUUGAAAUCCCAGUCAUGUCCUGACUUGUGCCAGAAAGCACUUUACAAAGCUUUGCCCGUGGCUCUGGCUCUUUGGUUGCUUGUUUGGUUUUGAGAUGUGCUUGUCUGUUUUUGGAAGAACUGCUACAAAAGGAAGCCGUGAGAUGCAGCAGAAACGAUUGAAUGCAGUGAAUUUCACCCUAGGUCUGCCUCCAUCAGGACUGUCUGGCUUAAGCAGGUGUCAUUAACUAUGUGAUUAACUAUGACUUUCUGAUCGUGUGUGAAUUUGUUAUGUCAACAUACAUAGCUCGCAAAUAUGUUUUUUGUUGGUAUAUACAARGCAGAACUGUAAUAUUACUUCUGAUUAAUGGUUAUCUUUAGAAGUGACUAAUCAAAAAAAUAAGGGGCUGACCCAAACUGAACGUAUGUUGGUAUUCUCUGUAAAGCAUAACUGAAUAGAAUUAACUUUAUGGAAAUUAAAUAUUACGUUAUUUGGGGGUUUCUUUAUUUUGUAUUUAUUUCCUAUAUUCAAUUUUUAAUUUCUUUUUUCUUUCAGAUUUGAAUGACCUCAGAAUGAUUUUCAGUCAUAUUUUAUCCUUGGACAGACUUUUAGCUGCUAAGGGAACCCUGACUAGUCGUGGUGACUGUUGAUUAGUGAGUUAUUGGUGCAUUUUGAACUUCGGUGCUCCUCGCAAUUGUAUUUCGAUACUAGUGACUUUGUUAGGCCCAGAUGUGCAAAGAUAAGUAGAGCACAGUCUAACUGAAAGCACUCAUUGAUCCRACUGCCCCUCCCUGAAAAUUCCCUUGCAGUUCAUAGUGUCUAUGGGCUUUGCAGAAAUUUAUUCAUACAUUUUAAAUAAGGACUACUUUUGAGAAUUUCCCAGUCAGUCAUGCAUAAUUUAUAAACAUGGAAUAUUAGGCAGAAAUAAUGAAAUUAUUCAUGAUAAGGUAUUUGCUCAGAUUUAGCUACCAGUUCUUUCCACUGGCAUUUAUUCAGUCUGGCCUGGUUUCCCACCUCAGCUCUUUUUCACUGGACUUUUUGACUGUUUUCUUGCUGUAGUUUCCUCUGUGAUCAUCCCAACUCAAACCUGAAAACUUUUACUGAGAAACUAUAAGCUGUAAAAGAUUCUGUCUUCUUAGGACAGAGCGGGACUGGAUUUAGAUUAAAAUUCAUGGAAUAAACUYUCCCAUUUUAAUUGGAUUUUUACGCUG
ensembl:lncRNA